CGGGUGCACUGAUCCAGCCGGGCCUUUCCCUCUGUGGAACCCCAUGGCCUUCACUGGCUGUGGUGGGGAAACAGGACUUUUACUUUGAAAAAAUUAGAGUGCUCCAGGCAGGCCUAUGCUCGAAUACAUUAGCAUGGAAUAAUAGAAUAGGACGUGUGGGUUCUAUUUUGUCGGUUUCUAGGACCGCCGUAAUGAUUAAUAGGGACAGUCGGGGGCAUCAGUAUUCAAUUGUCAGAGGUGAAAUUCUUGGAUCUAUUGAAGACUAACUACUGCGAAAGCAUUUGCCAAGGAUGUUUUCAUUGAUAAGGAACGAAAGUUAGGGGAUCGAAGACGAUCAGAUACCGUCGUAGUCUUAACUAUAAACUAUGCCGACUAGGGAUCGGACGAUGUUAUUCUUUGACGCGUUCGGCACCUUUCGAGAAAUCAAAGUGCUUGGGCUCCAGGGGGAGUAUGGUCGCAAGGCUGAAACUUAAAGAAAUUGACGGAAGGGCACCACCAGGGGUGGAACCUGCGGCUUAAUUUGACUCAACACGGGGAAACUCACCAGGUCCAGACACAGUGAGGAUUGACAGAUUGAGAGCUCUUUCUUGAUUCUGUGGGUGGUGGUGCAUGGCCGUUCUUAGUUGGUGGAGUGAUUUGUCUGCUUAAUUGCGAUAACGAACGAGACCUUAACCUGCUAAAUAGCCCGUACUGCUUUGGCAGUUCGCCGGCUUCUUAGAGGGACUAUCGG
rnacentral:rRNA from 1 species